rnacentral:lncRNA from 1 species
CACGGAGUCCCCAAAGUCCAUUGUAUCAUUCUAAGAUAUGUUGUCUGGAGCUGAAGCAGCCAUCUUGUGACCAUGAGGGAGAUGCCGAGAGAGAUCUCAGAGCUUCCGGCCGCCUCGCCACGGCUGGUCACAGCCUCCCUCCAGAAUGCUGAGAUGGGGGCGUUGUUGUGUGAGGGAGAAAGACCCUGUUGCUCUAAGAUUUUUUUUUUAAUGUAACUUGCAACAAAAAACUUUCCUAAAUAAUAUGGACGUUAAAAGGCCUUCAGAGAAACACAACCAGCCCACCAGCCCCUCAUGUUUUCUGAUUUAUUUAUAAUUUUUACCUCACCUGUUUCCUGAAAAAGAACUGACGAAGCUGAGAGACGCUGGUCACUGACCCUGAGCCUAAGGUUUAGCUGGAGUUUUCUUGUUGACCUCACGGUGAUGCUUCUGGUACCACUGUUUUCAUCUAGUCCUAAAGCAACCACAGAGAGUGAAUGCCACCUGUUGACCUGGCAGCGCAGCAUGAAGUCGGUGAAAUCCUCUUACUGCUCCGUAUGCCACCUCCUCCAGGAAGCCUCUUGGAUUCUCCCAGGCAGAAGGUGUUGGUCUCUCUUCCAUAAUCCUAUUGCCCCCUAAAGAUUAUGCUAGCAUUGCUGCCUGCCUUGGACCUGUGCUGUGCAUGGAAAGCCCAGCCCCACGUCACACCUAGUCAUGUUCCAUGGAGCCUUGUUAAAUGGAUGCAGGAAUCACGGGAUGCCCUGAACGAGAUAGGUUGGAGGAGCCUCCACCUGUUCACCAUCUGCCUCCACAGCUUCCCUGCCACCUGUCCUGGGAGGAUGACCUGCAGGCUGCUGGGCUUCUGACCCACCUGGGAUGGCUCAGGCCACCCUCUCCCACUUGGCUGGGGUUCCUACCUUCUACCUGCUGUCUUCCUCUCAUGGGGUAGUUGGGAGGAGGGCACUUAGCUUUGCCCUGGCUGACCUCUCCCACCCCACUGGCCCAGCUACCUUCUUCUGGUUAAAGCUUCAGGCCUGGCAUGUGACCCUGGGCUGGGACCCACUGCAGAAAGGGUCGGUGUUGGCCCACAGGUUCUGUGGCUGCACCUCAAGCCCAGGAGGCAGGAGGGGCACUAGUCUCCAAAGUCAGCCCCAAAACCGUGUUUUUUUUGACAUCACAUCAUGAUUUUUCCUCCUAGAUUUGGUGGCCCAGGGAGGCGGCAGGCCCCUGGCGGAAGCCCCCCAGGGCACUGUGAUGAGUUCAGCCGCCUCCCACAGAGGAUGAGUGGGUCGGCCAAGGCUCUGGCGGAAAUUGCAAAUUAAACUUAAAAGGUAACCUAGCAUUUAGUUAGCUUUUUAGAAAAGAGCUGUGGAGUGGCCAGAAGGACGGCCACAGAGAAAUGACAACAGUCACUGUCACACUGAAGCCCGAGUGCCUUUACCAGGGUGUGAGCGAUGUCACCACCGUUUCCUCCUUCUUCCCAGCCACCGUUCCGGCCUCUCAGAAGCUGAUUUUUUCCACCUCCACCUCCUUCCUCUGCUGCUGUGGCUGCACUCCAGAGCCUGCCCGCCCGAACCCUUCUCCAAAGGAAUCGACUCUUCUGCAGUUCCCCUCCCCGUGGCCUGAAGACACAGUUUUCCUAAUAGAGCGUUUCAUAGCAGCAAAGCGGUUGUCGAUAAACCCUUCAGGUCGAGCAGAGCCCGUGAGUCAAAGGAAAUCCGUGCUAGUCAUUGAGCACUGAAUGACUUGUUUCAAACUCAAGUACAAGCCUGGCUGGGAGAGAAGAUUAUUAUUACUGUUAUUAAGUCUUCCUGUACCUCCUAUUGAACAUCUUAUUAGCAAUGUGUGUAAGCAUCUGCUCCUGGACCCAACUUCGAUACUACACUGUUGACUCCAAUUUUAUAAAUGUGUAAGAAGUGAGUAAAUUAAGCGGUGUGAACCCUGCCGGGGCCCUGACCCUGCCAGCCUGGUGUGCAGGCCCAGGACUGCUGUACAGCAUAAUGAUUACAUUACAAUCUUGUGAUAUUAUUCACAAUGACUUCAGAUGAAUGAAUGAUAAACUAGGGGUUAUGCCGCCUUUAUUACAGAGCUGAUACGAUAGCUAAUCAGUGUCCAAGUAUAUGUCAUUACAUAAAUUAUGAACCUGAAUUUGAUGUGAAUUCCCAAAGAGGCUGGUUCUGAACAUCAUCCAGUAUAAGGCCACAGGCUGAGCUCUGAAUUCUGAAAACAACAGCCCUUUUUGCUCUCAUAAUUUCUGUAAAUUACUAAUAGAUAUCUUUAAAGGCCCAGGGAAUAUACUUUAAUCCACUAAGACUUUCUUUGUGGUAAAUGAUCAACACUUUUUUCUUUCAAAGACUUUUUUCCAUCCUCCGUGUUCUGCGUCUGUUUAACGAAGGUUUUCUUAUUCCUUAAGCUGAUACGUGAAGAAUAAGAAAGACUACUAAAUGACCGGUCAAUUACAGAUGGGAGAAGAGGCAUUAAAAAGUCAAGUGUGGGAUUCUCCAAAGCAGAUCUAAAGCCAGAAGCCAGGCUCUUGAGGGCGAAGACCAGGGCUCCCUGAUCCUGUCUUCCCAGAGUAGGCACACGCUAGUAUGGGUGAGGUUCCCUGUAUUCAGGCUGGGUGAAUAAAUGAAUGACUUCCUCAAGGAAAUGAUACUUCUGGUUAGAACACUGCAGCCUGAGAAGCUUACACUGAUUCAGGGAGGCUGGGCAGAAGUGAGCAGAUCUGGGUUUGAAUCUCUCAUUCACUUGCUAGCUCAGACCCAGGGAAAGUUGUUUUUUUAUUUUAUUUUUUAUUUUUUCGAGUUGGAGUCUUGGUCUGUCGCCCAGGCUGGAGUGCAGUGGCAUGAUCUCAGCUCAUGGCA